UUUAUAAUAAUAUAUUUAGUAUAUUUGACUUUCCAAUCAAAAAAGUUUAAAUAAAUUUUAAAUAUAAAA
rnacentral:tRNA from 1 species